AUAAGUACUGAAAGCAUCUAAGCACGAAACUUGCCGCGAGAUGAGUUCUCCCUGACUCCUUGAGAGUCCUGAAGGAACGUUGAAGACGACGACGUUGAUAGGCCGGGUGUGUAAGCGCAGCGAUGCGUUGAGCUAACCGGUACUAAUGAACCGUGAGGCUUAACCUUACAACGCCGAAGCUGUU
rnacentral:rRNA from 1 species